UGGGGAAUUUGGACAAUGGGCGAAGCCUGAUCCAGCAAUGCCGCGUGUGUGAAGAAGGCCUUCGGGUUGUAAAGCACUUUUGUCCGGAAAGAAAUCCUUGGCUCUAAUACAGUCGGGGGAUGACGGUACCGGAAGAAUAAGCACCGGCUAACUACGUGCCAGCAGCCGCGGUAAUACGUAGGGUGCAAGCGUUAAUCGGAAUUACUGGGCGUAAAGCGUGCGCAGGCGGUUUGCUAAGACCGAUGUGAAAUCCCCGGGCUCAACCUGGGAACUGCAUUUGGGUGACUGGCAGGCUAGAGUAUGGCAGAGGGGGGUAGAAUUCCACGUGUAGCAGUGAAAUGCGUAGAGAUGUGGAGGAAUACCGAUGGCGAAGGCAGCCCCCUGGGCAAUACUGACGCUCAUGCACGAAAGCGUGGGGAGCAAACAGGAUUAG
rnacentral:rRNA from 1 species